CGAGAAAGGCGUAGCAUCUACUGCCGCUGCCUUGACGUCGAGAUCGACGGAGAAAGAGGUCGCCGGUGAUGGCAUAGAGGAUGCGGCGAGUCGGCAGGAGAGGACGCCGUAGCGUCGGACCAGAGCGGCGACAACCUCGGCUUUAGAGGGGCCUCCGACAACCGCAAGAGAGGCGAGGGUCCCCAACAGAGGAAGCGCGGCGACGCUGUGAGCAAACUCCAACAGCGGCGGCGGAAAUCUAGAACAGAAGAGAAGAGAUAGCAGAGUCGAUGUUGACCUGAAUCGAAAGGCUAGGGCUCGAUCCAUGAGCAGAUGAAGGACUUUAGUCGUGCUGCGAUCUCCGGCCAAGGGAGGCGCGGGACGUCAACCCCGGGGCGGUGACCGGCAAUUUCAGACGAAGGAGCUAGGGCUCGACAUUUUCCCUUCAAUUGUGUGCUUUCAACGAGGAAUUAAAGAGGGAACUGGGACGCAGAGAUAGACAGAAGGUGACUCAGGCUAAUCCAAGCAAACCACGCAGUCUGACGAGUCGACGAGGCAAUACGCGACGCCGUGGAGAAGCGCCUCGAAGUCCGGCUCGGGAUCCACCUCGGCGGGGCGGGGUGGAGGCCGACGGCGGCGCUCCUCCAGCAGGGCGGCGGCGUUGCUUCAGCAGCGGCGACGUCGGGGUGACGGUGGUUCCAGACGUGGUAGCGCGGCGCGACAACGAUCGAGAGCGAGAGAGACGAGAGAUGUGUGUGGGUGUGUUUCAGCGAUGGAGAAGAAGAAGGGGCGUUGGCUCAAGCAGAGAGACGCGGCGCGACAACGAGCCAGAGCGAGACAAACGAGAAUGCGGUGGCCUCAGGCAGCGAUGGAGAAGAAGAAGGGGAGAUGGCUCAGCACAGAGUGUGUGCGUGAGUUUGGUAAAAGAGAAUAAAAGAAAACCGUGAGACAAUUAUGUAUUUUAAUUUUCNAUCCCCCAUCUCUUUUCCGACCACCAGAAAUAUGACGUGGCUCGCCGGAUGCCACAAUGUAAUUUAAAUUACUAUUUUUUUAAUUCCAUGUCAUUUUUUAUUUCUCUUUUUUUAAUCCAUCCUGAAAAUUAAUUUAGGGCUCAUCGAGUGAAGUGGAAAAGGGGCGAGAAAGGCGUAGCAUCUACUGCCGCUGCCUUGAUGUCGAGAUCGACGGAGAAAGAGGUCGCCGGUGAUGGCAUAGAGGAUGCGGCGAGUCGGCAGGAGAGGACGUCGUAGCGUCGGACCAGAGCGGCGACAACCUCGGCUUUAGAGGGGCCUCCGACAACCGCAAGGGAGGCGAGGGUCCCCAACAGAGGAUGCGCGGCGACGCUGUGAGCAAACUCCAGCAGCGGCGGCGGAAAUCUAGAACAGAAGAGAAGAGAGAGCAGAGUCGAUGUUGACCUGAAUCGAAAGGCUAGGGCUCGAUCCAUGAGCAGAUGAAGGACUUUAGUGGUGCUGCGAUCUCCGGCCAAGGGAGGCGCGGCGACGUCAACCCCGGGGCGGUGACCGGCAAUUUCAGA
rnacentral:lncRNA from 1 species